UGUUGCAGAAGCGACACACUUCAACUUUAAGUUGAUUGAAUUUCUUAAUGUGAAAAAUGACAGAAAUUAGUUUACUGUUGAUGUAUUAAACUGAUAAAUACAUUCUUUUUCAGAUGUCAUUGUAAGCUGUGAGAAUGUGACUGUAUCUGUGGGGAAAGAAGUAACUCACCUGCAGCAUCUCUCUGCUGCUCACUGAAUGCUGCAUUACACGGUAUAAGUUUCAAUACCCUGAGAGCAUUUAUGACGCCGCAGUCUGUCAUCAAGUUUUUCCUGUGAACAGAGGAACAGCUUCACAUGCCGCUAAACUCCAACUACAGCAAUGACAGAACAAUUCAGAUUCUUUAUGCAAACAAAGUGUGGAGCGAAAAUAACAGAAUUCACUGUGGACAUAACAGAAUCCAUGAAGCAUAAACCUGACACUGAAGCUCCUGGCAAGAAAGAGAUAUCUUUAAUGUCAAGCUCCAGAAAUAAAUGACUGCAAUGAAUAUUUAAGGAUGCUUCAAGUCCAAGAAAGUGUUACUGAUUAUGGGUAUUGUAACUGAGGCCAUCGUCAUCACUGCAGUAAGCUGUUUCAUCAUCAUCAUCGUUACUGCAAUCAUCUGUGUGAAGAGGUUCAUAAGUACCAACCCUUCUGGAUUACAGAAGAAAUAUGAAAGAGGUGUUUCUGAAGAACAAACAGUGAUGACAACCAAUGUUUAGAAAGAAACACUAUGAAAACAGCAAAUUGUGUUUAAUCUUUCAUGUAAACAUCAUAGACGUGAUAAUGUCCUGUUUAACUAAAUAUGCUGAACUGUAAAAUUCACAUACAGUGUCGGAAACAAUGAUUGAUCAAUAUAUUGGUCAAACUAAUGAAUCAGCCAAUAUUUGGCUAUGCGGAGAAUAUAUCUGCAUCAGAUAAUAAUUCUGCCCUUGUGUUUUCAAAGACUUUAAUGUAUUUUAAGUAAAUAUUGUGUAAACUAAGUGUUUUUUUAGCAUUUUUGAGCAUCAUAUAGCUGCAUUGCAUAUGCCAUUGCAUUGACCUAUUGUAUUUGCAUUAUCAUUUUUUAUUUAUUAAAUUGCUGUUAAAUUAUGAAAGUGUCAUGAUACUCUAAAAAUGGUCUAAAAUCUAUUUUUAUCAUUUUUAAUAAACUUGUCAUCAGUGAAGAGUAAGAAUAAAUCUAAUUUGUGGUAAAUGGUAAAGUCUGUUCUGGUGUAAGAUGAAUAUAAUACUGUUGCAAUUAAUUCAUCUACCAGCAGAGAGCAUGUCCUGAUAUGAUGAAAUCAACUCUCUUUGACCAAAAUGAAUGUCACAUGAAAUCAUUUUUUAAACAGCACCUGAAUGUACAUAAACGCAUCUUGUGUCUUGUUCUGAGGUGAAUAUAUGCUUCAUUUAGUUGUUGAUUGAGUGUCAUUUAGUGACUCUUGGUGGAGGAUUGCUGCUAGUUUAUUAUUCCCAAUGAUAACAAAACUAAUUUUGUUAUAAACUGAAAGUAAAGAAAACACUAUUAUGUUUUUAUUUCUUUGAAGUUUCUUUAUUUUUUCACUUUGGUCCUGGUCUUUCAUAUGUGCUUCACUUGUAAAAGUUUGUGUAGACUUUCUUUUUCUUCUAUAA
ensembl:lncRNA